rnacentral:rRNA from 1 species
GGUGCAAGCGUUAAUCGGAAUUACUGGGCGUAAAGCGUGCGCAGGCGGUUGUGCAAGACAGAUGUGAAAUCCCCGGGCUUAACCUGGGAACUGCAUUUGUGACUGCACGGCUAGAGUGUGUCAGAGGGGGGUAGAAUUCCACGUGUAGCAGUGAAAUGCGUAGAUAUGUGGAGGAAUACCGAUGGCGAAGGCAGCCCCCUGGGAUAACACUGACGCUCAUGCACGAAAGCGUGGGGAGCAAACAGGAUUAGAUACCCUGGUAGUCCACGCCCUAAACGAUGUCAACUAGUUGUCGGGUCUUAAUUGACUUGGUAACGCAGCUAACGCGUGAAGUUGACCGCCUGGGGAGUACGGUCGCAAGAUUAAAACUCAAAGGAAUUGACGG